ACCGAGACUUGGAUAGGUAACCAGUCGUCCUCGCCGUAGUGCUGUUGAUGCCAACGGAAGAUGCUGCGAGAUCGACUGACUCUACGGUGACAGAGCUAUCUAUGCCGACUUAAGAUAUCACCGGUUGCUUCCACAGUGCUGUUGAUGCCAACGGAAGAUGUGUCAGCGAAAAAAGGAAAAAGAAAAGAUCUCAAGUUGUGAGAGUUUGCGCAGGGCAAUUUUGUAUUGAUUU
rnacentral:lncRNA from 1 species